GUCGAGGGGUAACAGGGAUUGCUUGCAAUCCGCUGACGACCGGCGCACGGGUGCGUAACGCGUAUGCAACCUACCUUUUACAAGGGGAUAGCCCAGAGAAAUUUGGAAUAAUACCCUAUACGAUCAUUAAUUGGCAUCAAUUAAUGAAGAAAACUCCGGUGGUAAAAGAUGGGCAUGCGUCCUAUUAGUUAGUUGGUAAGGUAACGGCUUACCAAGACUUCGAUAGGUAGGGGUCCUGAGAGGGAGAUCCCCCACACUGGUACUGAGACACGGACCAGACUCCUACGGGAGGCAGCAGUGAGGAAUAUUGGACAAUGGAGGCAACUCUGAUCCAGCCGUGCCGCGUGCAGGAAGACGGCCCUACGGGUUGUAAACUGCUUUUAUACAGGAAGAACUAUAUCUACGUGUAGAUAUUUGACGGUACUGUACGAAUAAGGAUCGGCUAACUCCGUGCCAGCAGCCGCGGUAAUACGGAGGAUCCAAGCGUUAUCCGGAAUCAUUGGGUUUAAAGGGUCCGUAGGCGGUCUAAUAAGUCAGAGGUGAAAUCCUACAGCUCAACUGUAGCAUUGCCUUUGACACUGUUAGACUUGAGUUAUUGUGAAGUAGUUAGAGUGUGUAGUGUAGCGGUGAAAUGCAUAGAUAUUACACAGAAUACCGAUUGCGAAGGCAGAUUACUAACAAUAUACUGACGCUGAGGGACGAAAGCGUGGGUAGCGAACAGGAUUAGGUACCCUGGUAGUCCGCGCCGUAAACGAUGGAUACUAGCCGUUCGACCAACAUUGGUUGGUUGAGUGGCUAAGCGAAAGUGAUAAGUAUCCCACCUGGGGAGUA
rnacentral:rRNA from 1 species